CCUAAGGUAGCGAAAUUCCUUGUCAGGUAAGUUCUGACCCGCACGAAUGGCGUAAUGAUUUGGGCACUGUCUCGACAGCCCGCCCGGCGAAAUUGUAGUACUGGUGAAGAUGCCAGUUACCCGCAACUAGACGGAAAGACCCCAUGGAGCUUUACUGCAGUUUAAUACUGGGAAUCGGUAAUUCAUGUACAGGAUAGGUGGGAGACUGAGAAGCAUGGCCGUCAGGUCGUGUGGAGUCACCGGUGGGAUACCACUCUUGGAUUGCUGGUUUCCUAACCUGCGGCCCUGAAUCGGGUCGGGGGACACUGUUAGACGGGCAGUUUGACUGGGGCGGUCGCCUCCAAAAGAGUAACGGAGGCGCUCAAAGGUUCGUUCAGCACGGACGGAAAUCGUGCAUUGAGUGUAAACGCAUAAACGAGCCUAACUGCGAGACCGACGGGUCGAGCAGUAACGAAAGUUGGAGUUAGUGAUCCGGUGGUAUGUGAGUGGAAAUGCCAUCGCUCAACGGAUAAAAGCUACCCUGGGGAUAACAGGCUGAUCUCCCCCAAGCGUCCACAGCGACGGGGAGGUUUGGCACCUCGAUGUCGGCUCGUCGCAUCCUGGGGCUGUAUUCGGUCCCAAGGGUUUGGCUGUUCGCCAAUUAAAGCGGCACGCGAGCUGGGUUCAGAACGUCGUGAGACAGUUCGGUCCCUAUCUGUUGCGGGCGUAAGAGAUUUGAAGGGAGCUGUCCUUAGUACGAGAGGACCGGGAUGGACGUACCUCUGGUGCACCAGUUGUCCUGCCAAGGGCAUAGCUGGGUAGCUAUGUACGGACGAGAUAAACGCUGAAAGCAUCUAAGCGUGAAACUCUCCCUAAGAUGAGAUCUCUCAUCCAUUAUGGAGUAAGGGCCCAGAAAGACGAUCUGGUUGAUAGGCCGGAGGUGGAAGCGCGGUAACGUGUGUAGCUGACCGGUACUAAUAGCCCGAGGGCUUGACCUA
rnacentral:rRNA from 1 species